UGCACGUGUCAUGUUUUGUACCAAUAAUUAAUCUUUGCCUUCUAUGCAAAGUUUCAUUCGAUAUAUAUAUUUGGAGAAGUGAUGCUCAUAUUUCCUACAACUCUUUCUCGCCAUCCUCUAUCUUUCUAAAUAUUCUGUUUUCUUUUAUUUUAUUUAUAUUAGUUUUAAAUAAUAAUAAGGCUUUGCUCUGUUUUAAGUAUUUUAAUUCCCGAUCACCGCUACCCUUUCCGAUUGAUCUGAGUCCCAUAACGCAUGUCAGGGCUCUGCCCGACUAAGUUCGUUGGGAUUCUGUCUCGGGACAUCGGGACAAGGUUGAUUUAGGGGUACUAUACUUACCACGAGUGCAUUAUAUAUUUUUAAUAGCUCAGAAGUUAUACCCAAAAUUUAUACCAGUCUUUCUAGUUGAACCCUAAAGUUACACAGUGGGUCCAUUCCUUUUUCUCACCAUUUUAUUCUCUUUUUGUAAUUUACCCAAAAAUAUUAUUUAUUAUUCUAUUCUCAUCAAAAGUCAUGCCUAUUAUUUUAUUUACCCAAUAGGAAACCAUAGUUGAGACACCCAAGUAAUCCUGCACAACUCCUAAAAAUUUCAUAACAAUCAGAAUCGGGAUCAGGGCCCCUAAAACUCAGAGGGGGCAAUCCCCAUUCGAUAUUAUCUUCAAAAUCUGUUGUCAAAAUUUAAUUUUAAUAUUUCAUCGACUCAGCAAACCUACACCCACACGUGGCCACCCUAUAGUGAAAAUGUGUCCCUUACGGACCGUAAGGGAUUAGGCUUACGGUCCGUAAGCAUGUCCAAUUUUUGUGUAUAAAUAGCAGACAUUGGCACUCGAUUUUGGACACUGAAACGACUUAAAAAAACUCCAAAUAUACGCUGAGAUAUUCUCUGAUUACUACCAAACACACACUAGCUCGAAUUCUGCUACGAUACAGGGUAUUAACUCGAUCGCUAUUACGAUUCAUUUUCCGACCGACCAAUAUAUCCAAUGGAUGUUUAAGUGCCGCCCACAUUAGGGUUAUACUUUGUCGUUCGUCGUUAAAUCGAUGGAUGUUUAAGUAUCGCACUUUGUCGUUCGUUGUGAGAAUUUGAUCUCGUGAGUUAUCGUAAUUGUUGUAUUAAGUUACCUACCUAGUUCGUAUGCACUAGGUUACAAGGCUAAAUCAAUAGGCUAAGCUCUGCCUGUAUAAAUCUGCAAUAUAUCAAGGCUUAUCUGUAGACUAAACUUUGGCCGUAUGAAUCUGCAUGUUUAUAAUGUAAUUACAGUAGAUUGGAGUAAGGAUUGGAUCCGGCACUAAAAGACUUCAAGAAGUGGCUUAUUUUAUUAAUUAAAUCAAAUUAAGAAAUAUUGUUUUUAUUAAAAGCUACCUUUGUAGAAAUGAAAUUUAUUCCAUCUAAUUAAAUAAAAUCCGGUGUUUCUAAACUCUGAUAUUUUUCCUAACUCACGGUUCUGAUGAAAUUUCCGCUGCAAUGUUUUUUUUUUUAAAAUAAUCACCGGUACCACUGGACUGCUCACGGCACCCGAUUCCGGCUAGGAUGGGGUCGGGGGUCGUGACAGAAGGUGGUAUCAGAGCUAAGCCACUGCUUUAAUCCUAUAAGUGUUGUGAUAACAAUACUUAAGUUUAAAUAAAAGAGUUAGGAGAUUGCUAUUAACUGGUAGCAUAUCUGAUAGCAUUUAGACUUGAACAUAAGAAAAGAUGCCUUAGUAUAAACUAAGCCACUUGUUUAGAACAAGUAGGUGUUAUAAUAAUAAUACCUAAGUUUAAACGGAGAAUUAGAAACUUAAUAUUAUCUGAUAGCACUCCGAAUGAUAUUUAGACUUGAACUUAAGAAUUUUGCCUUAAAUAAACUUUAAGGUAAAUUACUUAUAUAAGUAUAAUAUAAUGGAUAUUGGUAUUCCAUAAAAAUGACGGUUAGCAGGUAAUAGCACUUAAUUGCUAUUAAUUCUUGCUUAUUGAUAUUACUUGGUUUAGAAUAAGAUAUGUUAUGGGAAUACAAAUUUCCUUGAUUCUGGAUAAAAGCCCUAAUAAAAGAGGCACUUUUAAAAAUCUUGAAAAGAUAGUAUUUAUGGGAAAAUAGAAAAUUUUUCUCCGACAAAACUGGGUAUAGAGUAGCAGACUCUCCAGCUUGUCCGGAUAUACUGAGAUUACCACUCCGGCGCGAACCGGAUAAGACGGGAUAAAUGGUAUGUUAAAACAGUAACAAGAUUUCCCUAAAUAGUAUCAUGAUCAAAUAUCUGACUGGUUUUUGGAAAUAUGAAUCUGAUAAAUACAUUGACCUUAUAAAAGGUAUGUAUAUUACAGCAUGUGAAAUAUUUGAUUAUAUAGAUAUGUAUAAGAAAUUCCAAAAACCUUAACGAUUGAUAAUUAAGAAUAAAACACAAGUAUAUGUGUCAAUAAUAAUUCUAGAUUUCUUUAUCAGAAAUCUCUCGCAUAUAUCUUUAAUUUCGAUGUCAAACAUUCUUUCGUUUGAUCAUCUACCUCGUAACUCGUGCAACAAAAUAAUACUGGAAACCCAUUAAGUUGGGAC
rnacentral:lncRNA from 1 species